rnacentral:rRNA from 1 species
AGUGAAGCGGCAACAGCUCAAAUUUGAAAUCUGGCCCCUAGGGUCCGAGUUGUAAUUUGUAGAGGAUGCUUUUGGCGCGGCGCCUUCCGAGUUCCCUGGAACGGGACGCCAUAGAGGGUGAGAGCCCCGUCUGGUUGGAUGCCUAGCCUCUGUAAAGCUCCUUCGACGAGUCGAGUAGUUUGGGAAUGCUGCUCUAAAUGGGAGGUAUAUGUCUUCUAAAGCUAAAUACCGGCCAGAGACCGAUAGCGCACAAGUAGAGUGAUCGAAAGAUGAAAAGCACUUUGAAAAGAGGGUUAAAUAGUACGUGAAAUUGUUGAAAGGGAAGCGUUUGUGACCAGACUUGGGCCCGGUUGAUCAUCCAGCGUUUUCGCUGGUGCACUCUGCCGGCCCAGGCCAGCAUCAGUUCGCGCCGGGGGAUAAAGGCUUCGGGAAUGUGGCUCCUCGGAGUGUUAUAGCCCGUUGUGUAAUACCCUGGUGCGGACUGAGGUUCGCGCUCCGCAAGGAUGCUGGCGUAAUGGUCAUCAGCGACCCGUCUUGAAACACGGACCAAGGAGUCGUCUUCGUAUGCGAGUGUUCGGGUGUCAAACCCCUACGCGUAAUGAAAGUGAACGCAGGUGAGAGCUUCGGCGCAUCAUCGACCGAUCCUGAUGUUCUCGGAUGGAUUUGAGUAAGAGCAUACGGGGCCGGACCCGAAAGAAGGUGAACUAUGCCUGUAUAGGGUGAAGCCAGAGGAAACUCUGGUGGAGGCUCGCAGCGGUUCUGACGUGCAAAUCGAUCGUC